rnacentral:rRNA from 1 species
AUGGCAGGAUGUGUGCAGAAAAGAUAAAAGAAAAGUAGUAGUAGUAUAAUAAGGUCCUCGUGGCUCCUUCGGUCGCCGUAACGGUUUGCUUGUUCUGCUCCGUCGCUCGCCGCCUAAACGCAGGGGUCGCCACUUCUAGGGACGCCACUGGCCGCCAGAGCAGUGGGGUGCGUCGCAGCGCGGCUGCCGGAGGCCAUCGCGGUAGUAGUCCAAGCUAAGCGACAGGGGUGGCCGCGGACCGGACUAAGCCACGCUGCCGCCACCGCCGAGCUAAGCCACGCCGCCGUCGAACUAAGCGCCUAUGACGCCGGGCUAACGCUGCCGCACGUCUCAGGGGCGAGUCGCAGCCGGCAGGCUCCCUCGCCGCUCCACUGCACGUCGCCGCCAGACGAGGCGCAGCGCGUGCACGUCAGUGCGCCCCUAGUCCGUGGCCUAACGUCUGACGUCAUUGGAUGUCUAAAGACACCACCGUUAAAGAGCAACGAACACAUUGUAAUAAGAGAUGUCUUCGUUUCUUAUAUACCCGACUGAAACCGUAAAGUACCCUCCAAAACUUCUACUACUUGGCGGUAGUUUUGCCCGUUCUCGUAGGAGUCAUCUUAGUCGUUGAAACAGUCUGUAGGGGACAAUAAGAUUUGGGUGAUUAGGAAACCCUCCAUGUUACCGAUCUGGAAACUGAAGGGUUCCCUUUCUUCAAUACCAACCAAGAUUUCCAAAUUAAUUCUCCCUACUUAAACACUCCUAUUAGUGUUUUAGAGACAUAUGAGAUCCUAUACUUUUUUGACCUCGACAAGAACUCCUUCUUAGUCCAUAUUGUGACGUAAGGGGUGGUCACUUACAAAAGUCUUUCGUCCACGAACUACCCUUAACCCUGUCACGGCAUCAAUGGAACUUGUGUGAACUAGAAGACCUACUUUUGUAACACUUCAGACGUCAUAAAAACAAUAACCUCGUCUUUAAAAAACUUGAAGACUCUUUACCGUUACAGUACCCACGAUACUUCUGCGACGUUUCACUUUAGAGGGGGGAACCGUAAUUGUCUUUUUCUCAAGUACUUUACCUUAACGUUUUCCACGAGGGGGGAUGGCAAUACCAUGGACUCUCCUCCAAUCUCUUAAAUCAACUUGUCCGUGAAUGACAUGUUGCACUUCGAACAAUAGAUGUAUUAAGACAACUACCGGACAGUGAGAUAUAGCUAGUAGUGACACCCUCUCUAGUCUAUGGUAGAGUUCACGACGUCCAAAACACACGUGUGUCACUGCUUCAUACCAAAGAGGUUAAAAGUUUGUUACCCUUCAUAAAUCGUAGCCGUAGUUUGCUAUUUUGACGUCAGUAUACCUUCCAACUACUUCUACCUCUUGAUAACGACUUCGUAUGUAACUGACCAGUACUCUUUGGUCACUACUACCAACGUACCUCGGGACUACUAACGGUCGAAGAGUGUACACCUUACCUUCUUCAGUAGGCCGCGACCCUACAACUUAGACCGCUUACAUAAGUACAAAUACUUUUUAUACCGCAACCAGACAACAGUACACCAACCAAAGGUCUACCUUUCGUUUAUAACAGACCAAAUUUACUAGUUUCGGAAACGAACACCCUAAAUCUACCUUUUGUUCGUCUAACGACCCUUCCCGUCUCCAGUUGCUUUUGUAGACUAAAACGACAGAGUUUUCUACCGUUUGAAUAUUAUUCGUGGUCAUCUCUAAGGCGUUAAGACAAUAAGUUAUCCCUGUGUUUUGUCCUCUCCGACUAACUUCUCCUCGUAUGUCAGUGAAGUAAAAGAGAAAGCCUUCUACCACUAAAGAACGAACAUUUAGAACAUUUACUCGUCUAAGUAAACACCUUGUAUUCCUUGCUAGGGUAAGCUCAAUUUGCCAUGUGACCGGUAUUCGCGUCGGCCAAACACUAUUCCAGUACAAAGCCACCUAGACUCGUCCGGAAAUAACGGUCACCUUCGCUUCUGCGUUUCCAGAUAUAUACCGUGUCUCGAUCACCUCUACAAUAGCUCUGGGACAGACCGGUGAGACCACGCCAGUUGACGCAUUCGACCUUGGGAUGUUUAGGUGUAUACGAACGUAGACGCUCGCUACUAGUAUGGUAAGCGUAUACCCCCGAUUUCUUUCGGUGGCACUUCGCUUCCCUGCGUCCGUCGUCGUCGCCGUCAUUACCCUAGGUGUACUUGCCGUCGCGGUUGCCGUUGCCAAAGCAAGUGGUCACGUUGCCCUCGGCGUCGUUCACUGUUGCUGUACGUCGCGAAACGAAAGGAAGGAGGUCCUUCUUGUGGGAUCAGGUCGUGGCCACAUCCCCCCCUCGCCUUUUGGACGAACCAAAAUACGUAGCGGAGGGAACAAGGUAGCACAUAGCGUUAACAGUGUAAAUAAAGAGUUAAGUUUCUACCUGUGUUUAAGUUUAUAAAAACCGCGAAUUUUAUCGAAAGAAAGGA